rnacentral:rRNA from 1 species
AGUGAACGCUGGCGGCGUGCCUAACACAUGCAAGUCGAACGAUGAAGAGCAGCUUGCUGCUCGGAUUAGUGGCGCACGGGUGAGUAACGCAUAGGUAAUGUGCCCCUUAGUCCGGGAUAGCCACUGGAAACGGUGAUUAAUACUAGAUACUCCUUCUUAUCAUAAGGUAAGUCGGGAAAGUUUUUCGCUAAGGGAUCAGCCUAUGUUCCAUCCGGUAGUUGGUGAGGUAACGGAUCACCAAGCCUAUGACGGAUAUCCGGUUUGAGAGGAUGAUCAGACACACUGGAACUAGGACACGGUCCAGACUCCUACGGGAGGCAGAAGUGAGGAAUAUUGCACAAUGGAGGAAACUCUGAUGCAGCAACGCCGCGUGGAGGAUGACGCAUUUCGGUGUGUAAACUCCUUUUAAGAGGGAAGAUUAUGACGGUACCUCUUGAAUAAGCACCGGCUAACUCCGUGCCAGCAGCCGCAGUAAAAC